UCCCUGGAGGAAAAACAGAAGCUGAUGAAUGCCUUGUCCAGGGUGGGAGGAGUCCACUUGAAAGACAAUGUUAAAAGGGUCAUGGAGAAAGAGUGUCCAGAGGACGACUGCAGAAAUGGAGGCAAG